UACAGAGGGGGCAAGCGUUGUUCGGAAUUACUGGGCGUAAAGGGCGCGUAGGUGGCUGGGUAAGUGUGCGGUGAAAGCCCGGGGCUCAACCCCGGGUCGGCCGUGCAGACUGCCUGGCUCGAGCAUAGUAGAGGCAGGUGGAAUUCCGGGUGUAGCGGUGGAAUGCGUAGGGAUCCGGAAGAACACCGGUGGCGAAGGCGGCCUGCUGGGCUAUUGCU
rnacentral:rRNA from 1 species